UUUAUUUACUUAUUUGUAGGCUGGGACAGUGACAUGUCUGCCAUCUUGCUGCUGCUACAUCUGCUACCACCAUCUGCACAAGGUAGAAAGAGGCCGGGAAGCUUUCUGCGUAUCAAGCUGUAGAUCAGCUCAUCAGAUUUCAAAAGGUUGGAACCAGUGUGCAGCAGCAUCUAGACAACAUUACCCAAAGCAGUCAGCCCUACCUUCUCGCCCAGGGAUCCACACAGAGCACCAUUCACUCCUACUUCAUUGUGGUUGACAAGCAUGCACUUCCAUGCAAGGCAACAGGCAAUGGAUCUGCUGCAUGCUAUGACUCCUGACACUGUGGUCAUCACUACCAUACACAGACCUUCUCUCUCCUCUGGGAGAUCAAAAUCUAGUGGCACUGGGGAGCC